GCCUCGAACCGAGGCGGUCAAGUAUCCAGAGUCCGGAGUCAGUGUGUGUGCGUGCGUGCGUGCGUGCGCGUGUCCGGGUUAAAUGUGCGUCAGGGGCAGCGUGCCGGUCACGCCGGUGCCCGCGCUCUGGUAGUGCGGGUGCACGCUGUGCAGGCGGCCGCCCUGCAGGCUCGUGUGGUCCGCGCCGCCGUCCCCGCCGCCACCGGGGGGCAGGUACAUGCUGAUCAUGUCCCUCAGGUCGCCCAGGCACGCUCUCUGGGAGUGGGAGGUGAUGGCCGGCGGCGGGGAGCUGGGCUCGGUCUUGCACACGGAGCCCAUGGAGCCCAGGCUCUGCUGCGUGUACGCCGGGGACGCGCCGUACGUGGACGCGGCGCUCAUGUAGGUCUGGGCCGAGGGCAUCAUGGGGUACUGGAGGCCCGCCAUGUCGUAGCGGUGCAUCUGCGGGAUCUGCGGGCUGUUCAUGGCGGGGUGCUGCGGGUAGGCCAGCUGCUCCUGCAUGAGCGAGUACGCGCCGUUCGUCCAGCCGUUGACGUGCGCGUACCCGUCCAUGCGCUGGCCCACGGACACGGCGCCGCCGCCGACGGCCGCGCCCGGCGCCAGGAUCCCCCCGGGCAGGGAGUACUUGUCUUUCUUCAGCAGGGUCUUGGUCUUCCGGCGCGGCCGGUACUUGUAAUCCGGGUGCUCCUUCAUGUGCAUGGCGCGCAGCCGCUUGGCCUCGUCGAUGAAGGGCCGCUUCUCGGCGUCCGUCAGAAGUUUCCAGUCCGCGCCGAGCCGCUUGCUGAUCUCGGAGUUGUGCAUCUUGGGGUUCUCCUGCGCCAUCUUCCGCCGCUGGCCGCGGGACCAGACCAUGAAGGCGUUCAUGGGCCGCUUGACGCGGUCCGGGUCGCCGGCGCCGCCGUUCUUGCCGCCCGGCGCCGAGCCCGAGGUGGGCUGCGGGAGGGGACUCUUGAUCUCGGUCUCCAUCAUGCUGUACAUUCGGGCGGGUUCGAGGUGGGCUGCGAUGUCGCACCCGAGCUUUCAAUUAAAAAUAAAAAAUCGCUAUAA
ensembl:lncRNA